AGAGUUUGAUCAUGGCUCAGAAUGAACGCUGGCGGCGUGCCUAACACAUGCAAGUCGAGCGAGAAAGUCUCUUCGGAGAUAAGUACAGCGGCGGACGGGUGAGUAACGCGUGAGAAUUUACCCUUUAGUGAAGAAUACCUCUGAGAAAUCAGAGUUAAUACUGCAUACGUCCCUACGGGGAGAAAGGUGGCCUCUUUGCUGCCGCUAAAGGAUAAGCUUGCGUACUAUUAGCUAGUUGGUGAGGUAAAGGCUCACCAAGGCGAUGAUGGUUAGCCGGGCCUGAGAGGGUGUACGGCCACACUGGAACUUAGACACGGUCCAGACUCCUACGGGAGGCAGCAGUGAGGAAUAUUGCGCAAUGGGCGAAAGCCUGACGCAGCGACGCCGCGUGGAGGAUGAAGGUCUUCGGAUUGUAAACUCCUGUUAAGUGGGAAGAAAGACCUAUUUCUAAUACAGAUAGGGGAUGACGGUACCAUUAGAGAAAGCACCGGCUAACUUCGUG
rnacentral:rRNA from 1 species